rnacentral:rRNA from 1 species
UACGUAGGGCGCAAGCGUUGUCCGGAAUUAUUGGGCGUAAAGAGCUCGUAGGCGGUUUGUCGCGUCUGCUGUGAAAACUCGAGGCUCAACCUCGGGCUUGCAGUGGGUACGGGCAGACUAGAGUGCGGUAGGGGUGACUGGAAUUCCUGGUGUAGCGGUGGAAUGCGCAGAUAUCAGGAGGAACACCGAGUGGCGAAGGCAGGUCUCUGGGCAUUAACUGACGCUGGAGGAGCGGAAAAGCAUGGGGAGCGAACAGG